GACGAACGCUGGCGGCGUGCUUAACACAUGCAAGUCGAACGAGAAGAGAUGAGAAGCUUGCUUCUUAUCAAUUCGAGUGGCAAACGGGUGAGUAACGCGUAAGCAACCUGCCCUUCAGAUGGGGACAACAGCUGGAAACGGCUGCUAAUACCGAAUACGUUCUUUUUGUCGCAUGGCAGAGGGAAGAAAGGGAGGCUCUUCGGAGCUUUCGCUGAAGGAGGGGCUUGCGUCUGAUUAGCUAGUUGGAGGGGUAACGGCCCACCAAGGCGACGAUCAGUAGCCGGUCUGAGAGGUUGACCGGCCACAUUGGGACUGAGAUACGGCCCAGACUCCUACGGAGGCAGCAGUGGGGAAUAUUGGGCAAUGGGCGCAAGCCUGACCCAGCAACGCCGCGUGAAGGAAGAAGGCUUUCGGGUUGUAAACUUCUUUUGUCGGGGACGAGUAGAAGACGGUACCUGGCGAAUAAGCCAACGGCUAACUACGUG
rnacentral:rRNA from 1 species